rnacentral:rRNA from 1 species
GAUGAACGCUAGCGGGAGGCUUAACACAUGCAAGUCGAGGGGUACGGUAGCAAUACUGGAGACCGGCGCACGGGUGAGUAACGCGUAUGCAACCUGCCCUUUACAGGGGGAUAGCCCGUCGAAAGGCGGAUUAAUACCCCAUAAGAUAGUACCCUCGCAUGAGGGAGCUAAUAAAGCUUCGGCGGUAAAGGAUGGGCAUGCGUGACAUUAGCUAGUUGGUAGGGUAACGGCCUACCAAGGCUACGAUGUCUAGGGGUUCUGAGAGGAAGGUCCCCCACACUGGUACUGAGACACGGACCAGACUCCUACGGGAGGCAGCAGUGAGGAAUAUUGGUCAAUGGGCGCGAGCCUGAACCAGCCAUCCCGCGUGCAGGAAGACGGCCCUAUGGGUUGUAAACUGCUUUUGUGCAGGAAGAAUGUGCCCAUCGUGAUGGGUAGUGACGGUACUGCAUGAAUAAGCACCGGCUAACUCCGUGCCAGCAGCCGCGGUAAAACGUG